rnacentral:rRNA from 1 species
UACAGAGGGGGCAAGCGUUGUUCGGAAUUACUGGGCGUAAAGGGCGCGUAGGCGGCCUUCUAAGUCGAACGUGAAAUCCCCGGGCUCAACCCGGGAACUGCGUCCGAUACUGGAAGGCUUGAAUCCGGGAGAGGGAUGCGGAAUUCCAGGUGUAGCGGUGAAAUGCGUAGAUAUCAGGAGGAACACCGAUGGCGAAGGCAGAUCUCUGGGCCGUAACUGACGCUGAGGAGCGAAAGCGUGGGGAGCGAACAGG